GAAGAAGCCUUUCGGGGUGGAUUAGUGGCGAACGGGUGAGUAACACGUGGGCAAUCUGCCCUUCACUCUGGGACAAGCCCUGGAAACGGGGUCUAAUACCGGAUAACACUCUGUCCCGCAUGGGACGGGGUUAAAAGCUCCGGCGGUGAAGGAUGAGCCCGCGGCCUAUCAGCUUGUUGGUGGGGUAAUGGCCUACCAAGGCGACGACGGGUAGCCGGCCUGAGAGGGCGACCGGCCACACUGGGACUGAGACACGGCCCAGACUCCUACGGGAGGCAGCAGUGGGGAAUAUUGCACAAUGGGCGAAAGCCUGAUGCAGCGACGCCGCGUGAGGGAUGACGGCCUUCGGGUUGUAAACCUCUUUCAGCAGGGAAGAAGCGCAAGUGACGGUACCUGCAGAAGAAGCACCGGCUAACUACGUGCCAGCAGCCGCGGUAAUACGUAGGGUGCGAGCGUUGUCCGGAAUUAUUGGGCGUAAAGAGCUCGUAGGCGGCUUGUCACGUCGGAUGUGAAAGCUCGGGGCUUAACCCCGAGUCUGCAUUCGAUACGGGCUAGCUAGAGUGUGGUAGGGGAGAUCGGAAUUCCUGGUGUAGCGGUGAAAUGCGCAGAUAUCAGGAGGAACACCGGUGGCGAAGGCGGAUCUCUGGGCCAUUACUGACGCUGAGGAGCGAAAGCG
rnacentral:rRNA from 2 species